rnacentral:rRNA from 1 species
GAUGAACGCUGGCGGCGUGCCUAAUACAUGCAAGUCGAGCGAACAGACGAGGAGCUUGCUCCUCUGACGUUAGCGGCGGACGGGUGAGUAACACGUGGAUAACCUACCUAUAAGACUGGGAUAACUUCGGGAAACCGGAGCUAAUACCGGAUAAUAUAUUGAACCGCAUGGUUCAAUAGUGAAAGACGGUUUUGCUGUCACUUAUAGAUGGAUCCGCGCCGCAUUAGCUAGUUGGUAAGGUAACGGCUUACCAAGGCAACGAUGCGUAGCCGACCUGAGAGGGUGAUCGGCCACACUGGAACUGAGACACGGUCCAGACUCCUACGGGAGGCAGCAGUAGGGAAUCUUCCGCAAUGGGCGAAAGCCUGACGGAGCAACGCCGCGUGAGUGAAGAAGGUCUUCGGAUCGUAAAACUCUGUUAUUAGGGAAGAACAAAUGUAUAAGUAACUAUGCACGUCUUGACGGUACCUAAUCAGAAAGCAACGGCUAACUACGUG